UAGAGAUAUAGAGGCCGCGCUCGCCAUCAUUAGGAAACGAAAGGGGUCAGCGCCGAAGCAAGCUUGCUUGCUGGGGGCAGUACUGAACAAGGCUGUCACUGUCAAAUGAGAAGCCCAUUCUUAUUUUGGAGGACUUAUCCUAC
rnacentral:ncRNA from 1 species